GCAUUCAGUUGAUGUAGAUUAGAGUUUUACAGGUCU
rnacentral:tRNA from 1 species